rnacentral:lncRNA from 1 species
CUGCAGGGUGUCUGCGCGUCCGGCGGCUGCAGGCUGCCCUCUCCCGGAGCCGCGGGAGCGCCGCCCCGGCCCCCGGCCUGGUCGCACGCUCCCUGCGCAAAGGCGCCCCCGGCCUCGGCCCCGCGGCCAUGGUUGUCCCUGGGGUAGAGGGCGCAGGGGGGCACGGGGUUCUCCAUGGGAAUGCUUGCUCUGGCCGCCGCCGCAGCCCGACCCCCGCUCAGCAGCCCACCAUGACCGCGCCCUGACUCAGGCUGCUCAAGGUCGACUGUUCCUUUGGGGCUCUGGCUGCACGGACUCUUCCUGGCCCGAGAUCAAAUUUCACUUUUGUGUGCACAGUUCCUCUGGCUCACACAGGGCUCCCCUCUCCCGCGAGGAGUGUGUCGGUCCUGUGUGCACUCUCAGCUGAACUUCUGGAGAGCACGCACGUGCGCGUUGGCUAGCCCAGUGCCAGGGUCUCCGUGGCUGCUUCUCCAGGUCGGUGCACCGAUGCUUCCCUGCAGAAAUGUAACGGUAACCUCCAUGGCACAUUCCCUGUAUGCAAGGCAGUGUCCAGACGCAUGGAAAUGCCGGGUUAGGAAAUGCUGAGUGAGCUGAAGCCUGGCCUGCGGGGUGUGUGGGUCGUGGAGGAGGACAGCAGGACAAAGGCGCUCUGCGUUUACUCAGCUGUGGCCCAGCCCCGCUGCGAUGCCAUCCGAACUGUCCCGAGCCACCGUGCUCAGUGAGGCGGCCGUGAACGCUGGCGCACAGCGAGGGAAGGCGGCGACACUCUGGAACGCUGGGAGCAGCGUAUACAGCAAAGCUCAUGGCAUCGUCCCAAGGACGCAGCGGUGCUUUCUCAGUCGGCGAGGAGAUUUCCAGCAGAGGUGGUGUGACUCCAUCCCACUGACACCUCUUCACCAGGCGCCCCGUGCGCCCCGGCUGGGAUUAGAGCCGGUCACGCCAGCCUCCCUGCAAUGGAGCCGAGACAGCCCCUCCCAGCUCAGCCACACGACCAGCCCUACGCCCAGCAACCAAAUCAGGAGUCCCUGUGCCUGUCCAGCCAGCCAAGGUGAUGCCAUGCACACAUUGUCAGGGAUGCAAGAGCCUGCCGCUCUCCAGUCAGGCACGGUGACGCUGAGUUGGGAGCUGGGAGGCCAACCCCAGCAGUCCCUCCACCGGGGAAGCUACGGUCCCCAGCCUGCAAGCGUCUGGCCUCGUGCGAGGCUCACCACCACCUUGCAGAACAAAUGGAUCCGAUUCCACAGGAGAAACAAGGAUAUUAGGCAGAGGAGUUGUUUCCUUUUUCAAAUGGUGUCAAAGAAACUCAACAGUAACGGCUCUAUCAUCCCUCCCCCCAGAAUGACCAUUACUGUGAUUUCACCUUAAAACAGGUGGGGAGGAGUCAGCCCAUCGGGUGUUAACAGUCCUGAGACAUCAGCAACUCUGCUAAGACGCUUUGUGUCGCAUUUCUCUGGAUGGGAAGUCAGGGUUUCUCCCCUAUUUUGUGGUUGGUUCUAGAAUCAGAAUUCCACGAAGAGGCCCGUGGAGGAUUCUGGAGGUUGCUGGUCCUGGUCAUUGGCAGUAACUGACACCCCCUCUGUGAUUGUGGCCUGGUUAAGGCUUUCUUUCCCGAGUGGUCACAGCAGGCGCUGCCCCACACGCCACUUUGGGGGCUGCUAUGUCAGAGCGUGGACGGAGUCCUAGCAUAUGGGGACGCGUCAGGGGGGAGAUGGGGUGACAGUGGCAGGCUUUCUUCUUGACUCUAGUUAGAAAAUGUUUCAAUAAGAGCAAGUUUUAAAUAUAAUUUAUGUAACAUUUCCCCCUGAAGAAUAGGAAUUUCUUCUGGACCUCAUAAAUACCUAAAGAGACUUUUUAAAGUUUCUUUCCAUGAAUUUCUUCACUAUUAAUAGGAAUUUUUUUAAAUGAUUGUGAUUUCCUAAUGUGGACAUUAUGUAUCUAAUGUGGGUAUUAGUUUAUCUAAAAUUAAAUAUGCUUCCUUAUAAUAUAGCUUGCUUGAAAGAAUCUUCCUUCUAAAUUAUUAUGGUCAGCUUUUUUAAAAAAAAUAAAGUAUUUGUUAAUAGACUAAGGAGACUCAUCUGAGCUUCCACGACACGGAGCAGAUUUUGCUGCUCGUAAGGAAUUCCUUCUGGGUGUUGUCCGUGUCCUGCCCAACCUGUUCCAUAAACAUCUCCAUCCACACCCCGUUAGGUCCCAGAGUCCCUGGGGACAGCACCUGCCCCAUGCCCACUGUGUGCCUUCCCCAACACUAGAAAGACACCGUUCUCCCAAUGAACAGCCAAUAGUCAACGUGAGGUUCAUUAACAAGAAAGCCAUAAAUACAAGAACCAUCAUCAUGUCCCAGGAACUUGUAGGGAACCUCAGGAAUUCUAUUGGAUUAUAGAACAUGUUGAUUUGCUUCAGCUGUUCGUACAAAUAUUGCUUUUCAAGAUGAUUUCUUCUUCGGGCCAUAAUUAAAAUGAGUGGGCCGUUUCGAAAGGGCCUUGAGCAGGUGGCUGGGGAGGGCGCCAAGGCUGCAGGCUGACUGCUGCUCUUCACCCCCAUGCCUGGUUCACAUUUCCCGAGUACUCUUCAUAGGACAGAGCAGAGUUUUAGGAGGACCAUCAAAAUGACAUGUGCAGAAUUACAAAGCCCAAAGCUAGCCACGGGGAAGCAUCAUUCACAAAAUAGGUCUUCAUCUGGAAACGCAGCCCAUCAACUCUGCUGUCUGGGUGCUAAAAGCAAGUGGUGUGUGGAGUCUCGGAAGACGUGAAAAGUGGCAGCUCCCAGAGUCUGCCAGCAAGAGAUCUCUAACAGGCUUCAAGCAUGCAGAUACUCCGUGAGUAAAGGGAACCUAAAACCAAUAUAUUCCGUGCAGUUUAGAAAUGACAGGGUGGCGCGUGACAUAGUUUGUGGGGUAAUUAGAUAAUUAGAUGAAUAUGUGGCUGCCCUUCCGUAGGUCAAGUGACAUUGAUUAGAGCUUACUCCACCAGACUACAAUCUAUCACUUUAUUUUUUACGAAGGACAUUCCUAAGAGACCGGAUGAACUGUGACAUAGCCUCACUAUGCACCGGGAGUAACAAAAUGUGAUAGCUAACGUCGCCUGUCGCAGGCACGGCUCUCCUGUGCGAGCAAUCAUACAAGCAUGCGAGGCCCUUGCUUUCACUAGCUCCGUUCUGCAGAAGAGGAAGUGAGACGUGAGGCAGCCUCACCAGCGUCGUGCAAUGACUCACACAUGCAGCCCCUAAGUGCCAGAGCCAGAACUGGCUCGAGGGCACGCGCCGAGAAACACCAGGUCGCAUGCUUCGGGAAGCGCUCGGUCCGUCACUAGCGCUGACCGCGAGGGAGGGGACUUCAGCUGCUCCCAGAAACCCAGUGGACUGAGUUGCUCAGGGCGACCUGCCCACACACAGGAUCCUAGAAACUGGCUGCCCCACCCAGCUCGGAGAGUAAAGCAGACAGACGCGUGCCAGCACCUGCUCGGAGUGCUUUCGCAGGAGUUAUUAGGGCAGUCACAAUCUUUGUAACUUGAAGGGGCUGAAUCUUUGGCGGGGAAUAAUGGGAACAAGUAAACUUACUGGGAAUUUCCUGAAUAAAAGUUUUCUGUAAGAGCUAUUCUUCAAGUCCAGACUCCAAGGCUGGGGAAGGAGGCAGUGGGCCAUCUGUUCCAAGACACUGCAUCCUCGUGCAUGUUUGUACCUUAGAUCCCUUGCUGAUGGGGCUCCCAUGCCCCGAGCCAGCUCUGUCGGCAUUCGAGCUGCAGUGCGCCUCGUUGCCGAGCUCCGGCUCCAGGCUCCGUGUCUGUAGGGACUGCCCGCCUCGCUUUCCCGUGAGGUGGUGUGGUCUGUGUUCCCAGAGAAGGUCUUGUAUUAGCGGCACAUAGGUUCACCCCUUGUCUGCCAUGUAUCCCCCUUUUCUAGAACAUGAAAUCCGGGACAGAAGACUUCAUUACUCAUUCUAUCCUUACCACGGGCUCUCCAAGGGCAACCAGCAAACAUUUGAUUGGUGAAUGAACAGACGAUGUUAACCAGGGAAAUUAGAAAAAACAACUCUGAAAACGUCCACAUGUAAACCACAUAAAAC